rnacentral:ncRNA from 2 species
GACAGAGGGUGCAAGCGUUGUUCGGAAUUAUUGGGCGUAAAGCGCACGUAGGCGGCUCGUUAAGUCGGGUGUGAAAGCCCGGGGCUCAACCCCGGAAGUGCACCGGAAACUGGCGAGCUCGAGUCCCGGAGAGGGUGGUGGAAUUCCUGGUGUAGAGGUGAAAUUCGUAGAUAUCAGGAGGAACACCCGAGGCGAAGGCGACCACCUGGACGGUGACUGACGCUGAGGUGCGAAAGCGUGGGGAGCAAACAGG